AAGUCGUAACAAGGUUUCUGUAGGUGAACCUGCAGAAGGAUCAUUGUUGUAAAACUCAGCAGCCUCUGGGCUCCGUUCACUCGGGCCUAGAGCUGCGAUCCACAAACCAAACACACCUGUGCACCUAUGAAUUUUUUUCACCAAACGCAAAGUAGAUCAUUGAAUGUUUACAAAAAUCCUUCGAAGGAAGGUGAAAGUUAAAUACAACUUUCGGCAACGGAUCUCUAGGUUCU
rnacentral:misc_RNA from 1 species